GUUUCGGUGCCGAGCCCCAGUGAGCACCGAAACCGAAUCCGUAAGAAGUAGCGAAUCCAUUUUUCUUCGUGGACAAAGCAAGAAUUCCACACUCCGUCAGACGCCGUCCACCGUUGUCAGCCCUGCGUGGUUGUUCUCAAUCAAGUGGUGAAGAAGGAUUAACUUUCUAUUGAGUGUUACAUGUGAAGGAGAACGCUGAGUAAUUGGAGGCUGGGAUGUUUCUGCAUAGAAUAAAUAAUAGUAACCGCAGAUUUUAUGCUACACCAUCUCUACAAUGCAUUGUGCGGAACUUCUCCCUCUGGUCUAUGAAGAAGGAUCCAGAUCUUGAAUCAGUUCUAUCUCGCAAUCGCCGCUGGAUUGUUAAUAACCAAAUCAAGAACAUUAUUCUUCGAUAUCAUAAUCAGGAAAUACCUGUGAAAGUUCUUCAGAAGAAAUUUAAGAACCUUGAUCUUCAAGGUAAAGCUCUCAAUUGGAUUAAAAAAUAUCCGUGCUGUUUUGAGCUUCAUCUCCAUGGUGACGAAUAUCACUGCCGACUGACAAAGAGGAUGAUGCAUUUGGUUGAAGAGGAAGAAUCAGUUAAAGACAUGCAGGAGCCAGUAUUUGUUAGGAGGUUAGGGAAGCUGUUGAUGAUGAGUGUAAAUAAGAGACUUAAUGUUGUUAAAAUUAAUGAGCUGAAGAGGAAUUUUGGUUUUCCAGAUGAUUAUUUAAUCAGAAUUAUUCCAAAGUAUCCACAUAUGUUUCGGAUUGUUAAUUAUAGUGGAAGACGAAAUGCAAUGGAAAUAGAACUGGUAUCUUGGAACCCUGAUUUGGCUAUUUCUACAGUGGAAGCAUCUGCUCAGGAACAGGGAACCCGCCCAAGUUUUACUUGCUCAUUACCUUCAUCAUGGGUAAAAUCUUGGGAAAGAUUUAAUGAAUUUAAUUCAAGCCCUUAUAUUUCACCUUACAUGGACCCAAAAGGUUUGGUGGAGGGAUCACAGGAGAUGGAGAAGAGGGCAAUAGCUCUGCUGCAUGAAUUGUUGUCAUUGACUCUCUGGAAAAAGGCCUCAAUUGUGAAACUGAGUCACUUUAAGAGGGAGUUUGUAUUACCAGAUAAGUUGAACAUUUUAUUACUGAAGCAUCCUGGGAUUUUUUACGUUUCAAAUAAGUAUCAAAUUUAUACAGUUCUGCUUCGAGAGGGAUAUAAUGGCUCUGAUCUCAUUCAUAAAGAUCCUCUGGUAGUUGUGAAGGAUAAAUUUGGGGAACUGAUGCAGGAGGGACUUCAUGAAUACAACCAGAGGCAUCGCUUAGUGAAUUUGGAGAAGAGGAGAAAGAAUGGUCUUCCUUUGGCUAGUGUAGAUAAAAGAAAGGAUAGAAGCGCUGAAAUUUCUGACUCAGAUGAUAGGGAAGAUAAAUUGGGAGGUUUGCUUAACCCGGAAGAAAGAAAACGGUUCUAUAAAGUUCUAUUUGAUGACGUUGCUCCAUAAAUUCUACCAAGAAAAGGGGGAAAUGAAGUGAUUAGUUAUACCACAUAGACAGGGGGGUAGAAGAAUUGUGAACUUUCAUCCAUGAAAGGCAGAAUACUUCCUGUGUGUUACAAGAGUUCAUCAUUUCCUUACCACUUCUGAAGAAACCUAAGGCUUGAUUUGAGAUACUGUUUAUGGUAACAACUAGAUGGGAUAGGCAUGCAGCUUGUAGGUAAGUCUGUUGAUCCACUUCUUUUUGUCUUCCCAAAAAACUGUGAAAAGAAUCUGGAUUGCAAUUUUGUACUAACGUGCAUUAGCACUUGGCACUUUUUGAAUGUGGAAGCAUGCCUUGAUUUUGGUGAGUUCUUGGUAUCUAACUUAUCUAAACUUUUUUUAUUUUUUAAUUAGAAAAAACAGAACUAUAAAACUAGGCUUUGAAACUUGGGCAUUCUCAACUGUUCUGAACAAUUUCAUAGGGUUUCAUAUAAUAAGCAAGUGAAUGAUGGUUCAGAGAAUGCCCUUCAACAUACAGAUACCUUGUUAGGCUAGGGAUGAAAAGUUUUGUAUAAUUUGUAGUUUGGAUUCUGUGGUCGUGAAUACGACGAGGUCUUGCUACUUUUGUUUUCCUGGACUUUGUAUUUAUAAAUUUUAAUGUGAUGAAGAAAAUUCACCUUUGCAUGCUUUGCUAGAAUAAGAGGGAGACGGGGGAGAAAAAAAAAAAAAUCUCAAAGUUGUUUUAAAUUUAAAUGUAAUAUCUGUUACAAAUAUUGGAUUCAUAAGCUUAAAUAAUGCUACAAAUUUUAGGUUUUAAAACUUGAGUCACAUUAAUUUUUUAUUUUUGAAAAUUCAUUUUAUUUUGUAAAAUGAUUCGAUCAACAAACCCAUUAUAGCUUAACUCUAACCAUCAAUAUGGGAUUAUGUUGAUCACAUAUUGUGUGUGUGUGUGUGUGUGUGUCUAUAUAUUCUUCCUAUCAGUACUGCUGGAUUGUCCAUUCAUUAGAACCAACGGCUAUUAGUUGAUGAUAUGCUCUUUAUUUGAGUUUCAUCCUAAGCUUUGUUUCAAGUCUAAAUUUUUAUUUGUUAGAUUUAUUUGACUUAAAUUUUAAUUGCAAGUUUAUCUUGCACAUACAUUUAAAUUGUUAAUGUAUUUUUAUUUCCUUUUGGCCUCUAAAUUUUUUAAAAACCACUCAAAUGUUUAUUGCUCUCACAUACCAUCAGAUUAAAAUACUUAAUAAAAAGGGAGAAUGGCGGUUAAAUCCCAAAAGAUUAAGUUAAUGGCAGUUAGUUUUCCAAAAUUUUUUAAAAAUAAAUUGUAAAUAUCAGUUUAAAUAGUUAUAAAUAAAAAUUUAUGUUACUGGUACUCUUUGAUAUUUAAAUGCUUAUUUGUAAUAGAAAUUCAUAAAUUUUUAAUUGUUUGGAUUGAUAUCUUUGACUUAUUUUUCAAACAAAUUGUCGAACUUAACUAUUAUUAUUUCAAUAUUUUGGGAUUUAAUUAAACCAAUUAUAGUUCACUAAGACCUGCCUUAAAAUUUCAUGUAAAUAAAAUUUCUUGUAUAUAAAAUUUUUGACGAAGUGAUGAGGAUUUCAUUGUUCCUAUAUACUUGUUGGUAUUAAUUGACUUAUGUUUUCCAAAACAAAAAGAGGUAUUAAUUAACAUAUACUCUUUCUUUUUGUCUCUAUAAAAAUUGUAUUCCUUUCGUUAAAAAAUGUAAGGUAUUUUUUAACGAGUUGGAUUUUUUAAAAUGUAAGGCAUUUUUAGUCUUUUGAAGUGUAAUCAUUGUAUUUUUUUUAAAAGUGCUUCUAUUGAUGAAUGACUUUAUAUUUAUUGUAAGGUGUUUAAUGGUGGUAAAUAUAAAAUGAUAGAGUUAGUUUGAAAGUAGGUAAUUACUUUAUUGGAGGAUGAGAUUCGGUUAAAAAUGUCUUAUAUUUUUUAACACAGAGAGUAUUCUUUGUAUAAGUUUAUUUUAUUACUAAUCGUGAGCGUUACCUACCAUCAUGAUAUUAACUGUCAUAUUAUUAAGGAUAAAAUUAAAAAAUUAUUGUAAUUUUGUGUGUUUUGAACUAAAUACCAAACUUUUAUUAGUAUAUUGGAUUUAAAGACAUCUUUUAUGUAGGGAUGAAUGGAGUGACAGAUUGCACUUGAGUAUUAUAAAGAUAAAUUAAUCGACAAGCUGAUGUGCCAUUGCUGGUUUUCCACUUAUAUUGUUGUCUCUUAUCUCUGAUGUCCCAUUCAAAAAACCAAAAUAUUGGUUUCACCCAAUUAAGUCAAGGUUCAUUGAACACUUCAAGAUACUUCUUCCAUUUCCAUAUUCUCGAUCUUUCUCUCGCUCUGUUUUUUUUUUUUUAUUACUUGAUACCUUGGAAAACCUGAGAUUCUACCACCUGCAUAGACAUUCUCGAUCUCUUUUAGCUUUCCUUUAUUUUUUUUUUAUUUCUUUGGUUUUCCCCUCACAAUUCUCUCUUUUAGUAUUAACUAUUGUCUUUUGGAACUAAGAAAUAUAUAUCAAUCAAAGGACUUUGGGAUUGCA